rnacentral:rRNA from 1 species
AUUGAACGCUGGCGGCAGGCCUAACACAUGCAAGUCGAACGGUAACAGGAAGAAGCUUGCUUCUUUGCUGACGAGUGGCGGACGGGUGAGUAAUGUCUGGGAAACUGCCUGAUGGAGGGGGAUAACUACUGGAAACGGUAGCUAAUACCGCAUAACGUCUCAAGACCAAAAAGGGGGACUUUCGGGCCUCUUGUCAUCGGAUGUGCCCAGAUGGGAUUAGCUAGUAGGUGGGGUAACGGCUCACCUAGGCGACGAUCCCUAGCUGGUCUGAGAGGGUGACCAGCCACACUGGAACUGAGACACGGUCCAGACUCCUACGGGAGGCAGCAGUGGGGAAUAUUGCACAAUGGGCGCAAGCCUGAUGCAGCAAUGCCGCGUGUAUGAAGAAGGCCUUCGGGUUGUAAAGUACUUUCAGCGGGGAGGAAGGGAGUAAAGUUAAUACCUUUGCUCAUUGACGUUACCCGAAGAAGAAGCACCGGCUAACUCCGUG